CCGGAAUUCCCUGCGUUGGGAAGACCCACGCCACGUCUUUUGCCUCUUCUUCUUCCUCUGGCAACCUCCUUUUGUCUCUGUUACGCAAAGGUUUUCACAUCCACACGUGACGUUACUACACGGCGGAUCGCUUGGCUGACGCAGCAACCGACUCGCGAUCUUGUCAAAACUUCCGUCACGAUGCCAGCAAAAAAAUAGUUUGGUUUCCUUGCGUGUUUUUGACUCCUCCGAAUAUAGAUGGAAACUGACCCGCAUACGGAGGGAGAGAGUUUUGUACAGGCAUCCCGUGUGGCUAUUAUCUUCUUCCUCGCCUCACCCCACCCCACCUCUUUCCUCCCCUUGACCUCUCCUUUCCCCUUCCUCCUCUCCAAAAAGAAAAGGGUCUAAGAUCUUGGCAUCUCGAUUCUCAUGCCAUGGAUAUGGAUAUGGAUGGAGCCGUCUGCAUGGUUUCCGUAUGCCGACAUGAAAGAUAGCACAUCUUUUCUGCUUGGCUUCGACGCCUAUCGAAGCUCUGGCGGCCGAGACGGGCAAACUUCUCUUGUUGAUUGGAUCUUAACUGGAUUUCUUGUUCCAUGGCGUCAACAGGCCGGCCGAUACUGAUUCAACCUAAUUUCUUCUUGUUCGGAUCUCCUCGCGGCCGGCUCUAUGCAUACCUCGUGUCCGAUGCACGCUUUCAUUGUGUAGAACACAGAUCGAUCUGAGCUGCUCAUGCCCGGUGAGUCUAGAUAGACUUGUAAUCGUUCAUUGUUUGUGGCCAAUUUCAAUCAGAACGAAACUUCUUUUGGUUUCUGAUGUUACGAAGGUGUUUACAUGAUCUCUUUCCUUUGGUUUCUAUAUGUUCUGGUUUGAUCUCUACAAGUUUUCCUUUUCUUUUGAAAUUUUAUUGGCUCGCCGUCUUAUUUUCUUCAAUAAAAGUCGAGAUCCCGUACGUUUUUCCCGUGGGAACGGAACGGGGAGUCUGAAUCCGAGGCACCCACGCGUCUCGUACGUUUUUGCUGUUGUCUCGAAGGUGAAGGUGCUUAGAUGAUUUCUUCCAUCUGGUUGGUUUCUACAUGUCUGAUUCGAUCUCUACAAUCUCCUUGUUGCCUUCGAUCGAGUGACAACUCGUUGGUCCUUGAUCUCCCCGUUGUUCCGUGUGAUGGGUUUUCCAGCCUACUAACUGUAUCGAAUCAGACUUGUAUCUCAACUGAAUUUCCUCUGCUAACUGGCAGGAUUUCUCUGCCUACUAAGAAAGCAAUUUGUUACAAAUAUCUGGUUUUGUUUCUCGCGUACCAACAGUCAAUGGACAUCUUACAUGACAUAGGACUAGUCUCGAGAAACAGUCAAUGGACAUCUUACAGACAUA